rnacentral:lncRNA from 1 species
AAAAGUUUCAAAGAAACAAAGUUUCAGUUUGACUUGAGAGUUGAGAAACUAUGAUAAUUGCAAAAGACAAGCAAAAAUUCUGAAUCACUGAAUAUAGACCAUCAAACAGAGCUGCCCCUUCUGCCAAAACAAAUCUCAAUUUUUCGGAAAACAUUUGAAAUACUCUGUAGAGCCUCCAGGAUUACUUGGACAUGUCUUCCCAUUUGAAAAUUUCUGUAUUCGGUCCUGUCUUUCAUGUAUUGUCAAAAUAUUAAUUUACAUGUAUAUAUAUAAGAAUUGCACUUCCAAUUUUCAUCAGGACGCAAAAAUAAGCCAACUUGAAGGUUCUGUGUUGAAGGCUGUAUUGUAAAAUAAUACUGCUUACUUUAACUUCAUUGUCUUGGAUGGAGAGUUGUCUCAUUGGCACUCGUACCACAUCUUCUUAUUUGUGUACUAGUGUUGUACUCAUGUUGUUUUUGUAUCAGGAUUAUAUGUUCUACUAACCUCUAGUUUUCAGUAAGUGUUUAUUUCUGCCAAUUUAAAGCACAAAAGUGCACACGCUAAAAUGUAUCGCCUUCUUUA